rnacentral:tRNA from 1 species
GAGGAUGUAGCUCAGUGGUAAAGCACUUGCAUAGCACGCAGGAUGCCCUGGGUUCAAUCCCUAGCACCACA